UUCCGCCAGGCUUACAGCGUGUCGCUGGAGCACAAGGCGUUCCCCGCUGAGCGAAACGGUUACUCCCUAGAGCUGCUCCGCUGCGCAGCUCCUGACACCGUCAGGAAGCUGUUCUGUGGGAGUCUGCAGGUGGGGUGCCCUGUUGCAGCCUCCCUGAGGGAGCUGGUCUGUCUUGGUGUUACUGCGGAUUCUUUAGAAAGAAUGCAAGGAAAAGAUCCCUCUUAAGGCCAAGAGUUUGUGAAGAUUUUCGUUUGUUUUCCUAUCAAGGGCUACUAGCUUUCUCCCCUAAACCAAGGAAGAGAAUAUCCUAGAAACCCAAAGAGUGGGAUUGGACUCAGCAGUUAAGGGCACUUGUUCCUCUUUUA